AAGUAUAUAGUGUAUUGUAUAUAUACAUAUACAUGUAUAAUAGCUUAGUUUGAAUGUAAUAGGUUGGUGUCCUGGUAUAUAGCUAAAAGCGUAACCGUUACCAGUUGUGUGGGUGACUUUGGGGUGUAAUUGCUGCAAUGGGCGGAUCAGAGUAAGCUUCGUGCUGAUGGGCGUGGCUCGCUGAUUACACCGCCGCGAUACUGAUAUCUUCGGCUUUUAUACCGCUUUUGUCCUAUACCGACUACCGCUCCCGUUAACCGAGGUAGAAGUGAAUAAAAGUCUAGACAAGACACGCGAUCUUGGAGCACGUACGGGGGUUGCAAGUAUUUUAGUUGACUACAGUACAGUACUAUGAUAAAAUAUAGUAUGGAUCGCAUGAUGAGUCUUUGGUGUCGCGCCGUCACCGCCGCAAAGAGACACACGUCGUCUGCAUACGAAAAUCCCAUCAGUAGCCACACGCAUCUGUAUCUGUCUGUCAUUGUCGCAGUAUCUACUUUUUUAAACUUUAAACUUUUAUUUAUUUCCCAUUCCCAUACGAGUAUGUAUUACUUAUUCUGUCGGCCAGACAACUGUGUCGCGCCUUGAUGUUCUGAUGUUAACACAUGACACCGUUGUAACUUCCAAAUUCCAUCGGCAAUUCAUCAGAUAUUCAUGUUAGCAAACUUAUGUUUCAAUCUUUUUUUUUUUUCUUUUUUUCAUACUAAUAAUCAAAUGUAAAAAGUUUAUCUUGUGUAAUGAUAAUGAAAUUUAAUUUUGGUAACUCUACUGCUUACUUUAUAAAUUUUG